UUCUUCUGUCUUUAAGAUACUAUGCUAUAGAUCUACAAAUACAUCUAUCAUAUAAGAAACUCUUAUGCUCUGGAAAUUUCAUUUUUGUCCCUUUUGUGGCACUCAACCAUCCAUCCUUCUUUCAAUUCUUCUUUUUCUUGACACAAUCAUCACAUCUUCUUACAUGAGAUGGCUUUUCAAAAUUUUCUUUUGUACAACAGACCUACCUCUACUACCUAGAGAAAACUAUGAUUUCCUAUGCCCCACAUUUCCAUUACCCUAAACUUCAUAUCUAUUUUCUCUUAGACCGAGAUCAUCUUCAUCUUUGAUUUCCUUUUUCUUCAACAACUUCUUUCUUCUUUAUGAUUUCUACAACCAAAAACGUCCAACCAUAUCUACCCAUACCAUCAGCUUCCAUAUCUUUUCACAUCCAUGUUUCUUCCUUCACGCUAAGGGUGUUCUAUGAAAGCCUUCGGAGAUGGAUGAUUCAUUUUUAUAAUUGCAAGGAUCUCAAAAAAAUGUUUAGAUUCACUGUCAAUAGUUAGGGUUUCGACUGAUUUUGUUAUUGUUGUAGUCGAACUUCUGAAAUUCAUGUUGAAAGUGGAAUCAAGGUGUUACUUCAAAUGGUAUAUGCAAAAGUCAAAGAAUGUUUGGAGAUACUUUAUGUGGAGGAUUUUUCCUUUCUACUUGCCAAACAUUUCACUUCAUUUUAUAAGCAGGUUGGUGAGUUAAAAUUCAUAAUUUAAUAUCUAUUUCAAGAAUUUUUUUUACUUUUGUUAUUUUUUUAUUAUUAUUUUGCUCUGUGUCUUUUAUUUUACAUUACUUAGAAGAACAAAAGGUAGAUGGUCAACCUCAUCAACAUGGUUAGUGAAACUAUUAUACGCUUGAAUAUUGCUUGUUUUAGAAUGUGUAUAUAGCUAUUUCAUUAUGUGUAGAGGUUCUUUGUUAGCUAUUGUAAUUAAACUUUAUUACACUUAAGGCUGAAGUUUAUAUUGUUAUAGAAUUUAAAAUAAUUUGAUGAUGUAUAAUAUUGACACUAUUGAUUUGAAGUAACCAUAUAUAUGAACUUUUCAAUUAUAUAAAUAUACCAAUGUUUUGUUUACUUUCCAUCCUCAAGUCCUUUGAUUUUUUUUUAAGGUUUCAAACUUGGAUAUGAGACACAUAUGACAGAGGUAAUAGUAAAAAAGUCUGGUGCACUGCAAUUGACUUUUGGUAUUGAAGGAUUGUUAGUGUUGAAAACAACCAAGGUAAGAUUGCAAUAUAUAGUACGAAUUUGUGCUUUAAUUGUCAUGUAGUUUUUUCAAAUGUCUUUUUGCACACUCUUUUUCUAGUCUUUAAAAUUUAUUCCUUGGGUGUAAAUGAAAGAUACACAUUCAUAGUUGUAUAUUCAGCAAUAACUGUGUUAGUUUAUAAGGUAUCUUGUGUUCUUAUCAUUCUAAAUCUAAUAAUAGUGAUUUUUAUGAACCAUGGAUACAUGUACUGAAUUGAAUUGAGAUGAGAUUGUUAGACUUUUAUGUGUAGUACGUAAAUGUAAAUAAGUGUGUCAAAUAUCAGCUAUUGUUAUUGUUCUGUGAUGCGCCAUUUAUUAUCUAUUUAUCAUGUUUUUUUGUGGACAUGCUCAAAGUCUCAAUGUCAUUACUUUUGUGGACCUUACCCAAUAUUUCAUGCUAUAUUUUCGGGGAAUAUAAUUCAACCAUCAUACCUGAUCGGCCUGGCAUGUUGGGGUUCUUAUUUGAUACUAAGGAGUUUUUUUUUUAAAUGCGUUAUAAGGAAACAAAAUCUAUCCACUUAUUAUGGUUACAUACACCCCCUUUGGGUGCAUUGCGACUUCUUUGACAAAGUAUUUGAUUUUUGGGGAGCUGGAAGAGAUAUAUUUUCAAAACUGAAGCUGAGGAUAUGGGUGGUUUGGAUCCAUCUGGAAUAAUUAUUUUAUAAAAAGAACGGUCUUGGCUUGAACAAGGGAGAAAAAUCGGAGAAGACCAAGUUGUUCCCCUCCCAAGGAAUUUCAAUGGAAUUGAUAUUGAAUCAGGCGGCAGUUAUAGGAUAUGUAGUAGACAUAUACUUUUAAAAAGUGGCAGCAAUUACAUCCCAAUUCAAUCUAUAUUUUAUUAUUAACAACAAAAAUUAUAAGUUUAUAAUAUUUAUAAUGUAUUUUAUUUUUCUAUUUUAAAAUUAUAAUUAAUGAUAUUAAAAUUUAAAUUUAUGAUAAAUAAAAAAAUUAUGUUGUACCA